CUGAUUGAAGAUGAAUGAAAUACCAAAAAGUGAAACUACGCCUGACAAUUAUUGAACAGUUGUUUUUGUAGAUAAGUAUUAGUGACCGAGUUGGAGAUACAGUUGCAGGUUGCGAUAGUGAAGUACAUAAUUCUGUUUGUUUUCUAAAGUGGUAGAAAUACAAUGGGGGUUUGAUGUGGAAAGAUGUCUGUACGAAGUUUAUAUAACGGGUUAGAAUGUGGACUUACAUCCACCAGAAGCUUGGGGAUGUCUCGCCAGAACUUAGACAGAAUGCUGGAGAACUACGAUACAACUUCACAUUAACAUCCACUUGGUUUAACAGAUCGAGAUAGUCCAUCGAAUUCUGACCACUGAUUUGAAACUCAAUGGGAGUAUCAUCCGACACUUGGGAUAUUGGACGAAUCUCUUGAUAAUGGACAUCAUUCACCGCAACUUGUGUAGGAGCUCACUUUUCGCCUGGUUUACUGUCUGUUCCGAUGGGGAAACUGUGCUGAUUGUCAUACCAUUACUUCCCAUCUUCGACUUGUGUGGAAUGGCAAAUCCCCUCCCAACUUGAGAUCAUCCGGGGAUAUCGCCAUAUUGAAAACCCGCCAGAGGUUCGGUCCACGUCCAUGGUGCUCGGGAUGAGUCAUUGGAGGACGAAGAUCGGGUGUCCUUAUGCUGCCAUGAAAUGUCGGUUUCAUGAUGUCCAAUUAU